rfam:Mycobacterium sp. E740 contig_173, whole genome shotgun sequence.
CGCGGUCUUCGGUAGUGGCUGCCGGACGAGUUGCCGGCAGCUUCGAUCGACGGCCGUA